GAUGAACGCUAGCGGCAGGCCUAAUACAUGCAAGUCGAACGGUGUCUUCGGACAUAGUGGCGCACGGGUGCAUAACACGUAUGCAACCUACCUUACAUUGGGGGAUAGCCUUUCGAAAGGGAGAUUAAUACCGCAUAAGACAGUAGCUGGGCAUCCAGCAGCUGUUAAAGAUUUAUCGAUGUAAGCUGGGCAUGCGUCCAAUUAGCUAGUUGGUGAGGUAACGGCUCACCAAGGCAAUGAUUGGUAGGGGAACUGAGAGGUCAAUCCCCCACACUGGACCUGAGAUACGGGCCAGACUCCUACGGGAGGCAGCAGUAGGGAAUAUUGGGCAAUGGACGCAAGUCUGACCCAGCCAUGCCGCGUGCAGGAUGAAGGCGUUAUGCGUUGUAAACUGCUUUUAUACAGGAAGAAACGACUCUUGCGAGAGGCAUUGACGGUACUGUAUGAAUAAGCACCGGCUAACUCCGUGCCAGCCGCCGCCGUAAAAC
rnacentral:rRNA from 1 species